GGGUGACCUGCCCCAUACCGGGGGAUAACAGCUGGAAACGGCUGCUAAUACCGCAUAAGCGCACAGAGCUGCAUGGCUCGGUGUGAAAAACUCCGGUGGUAUGGGAUGGGCCCGCGUCUGAUUAGGCAGUUGGCGGGGUAACGGCCCACCAAACCGACGAUCAGUAGCCGGCCUGAGAGGGCGACCGGCCACAUUGGGACUGAGACACGGCCCAAACUCCUACGGGAGGCAGCAGUGGGGAAUAUUGCACAAUGGGGGAAACCCUGAUGCAGCGACGCCGCGUGAGCGAAGAAGUAUUUCGGUAUGUAAAGCUCUAUCGGCAGGGAAGAUAAUGACGGUACCUGACUAAGAAGCCCCGGCUAACUACGUGCCAGCAGCCGCGGUAAUACGUAGGGGGCAAGCGUUAUCCGGAUUUACUGGGUGUAAAGGGAGCGUAGACGGCAAGGCAAGUCUGAUGUGAAAACCCAGGGCUUAACCCUGGGACUGCAUUGGAAACUGUCUGGCUCGAGUGCCGGAGAGGUAAGCGGAAUUCCUAGUGUAGCGGUGAAAUGCGUAGAUAUUAGGAAGAACACCAGUGGCGAAGGCGGCUUACUGGACGGUAA
rnacentral:rRNA from 1 species